CAUCUCAAAAGCAACUUAGUGCUGAACUCAGUGCCCCAGGUUGCUGUCUUUCUGGGUGUUCUGUGUGAAUAGCAGCACCAUUACCUGGUGGUAAUCCUUAGAUAUCCCUCUCCCUGCCUUAUCAGUAGUCAGUCCCCAAGUCCUGUGCAUGCCAGAUCAUUUGUGUCUCUUUAACCCCUUUCUUUUCCAUCCCAGACAGUCACAAAAUGGAAGCCAUGUGGUAUGGG
rnacentral:lncRNA from 1 species